AAAAAGAUAAGCUAAAAUAAAGCUAUUGGGCCCAUAACUCAUUUAUGAUUAAAAUUAAUCUCUUUUUA
rnacentral:tRNA from 1 species